CGGGAAGCGGCGAUGCAAACAGCUGUUCGCUGGCCCCGUGUGUUUGUAGCCUAUCAUGAGCUAACUCUCCUGACAGCUUCGCCACCUCGUCGCUCCAGGAAACAUCUGAUGCCUGUUGCUUCUCCACUGAGGGUUUCUUCUCGUCGGCUUCCAACCUGAGCUCCGGAGCGGAGGAGGACGUUUCCAGCCGCCGAUGUUAGCUCCUGCUUCACCACGGGCAUUGGAACAGCUUGACGCCUAUUUUCAAUUGUGCUGUGUAGGUGUCAAGGACAACUCUCGCA